UUACCACCGAGCGGCAGGCAGAGAGGGCCUACAAGCAAGGACAACUGGGGGAGAAGACGAAGAUUAUCCAACACAGCACAGCUCAGGCUGCUGAAGGUCCUAUAGGGCACAUCUACAAAGAAAGGUAAAAAAGGUCUUCCAGGCUACCACUGUGCUCCUCUCUGUUCCAUGCUCACCUGCAUCAUCCCUGGACCAGCAGGAUGCUGUUCUCUGCCCGGCUCUGUCUUGAUGAGGGAAAAAUGGUGAUUUCCCCAAACCCACAUCUGGCAUGACCUCUGGCACCUCCCACUUGGCCCCUUCCCCACUCCAUACCUCUGUCUUCUGCCUUGCCACCCACUCAGACCCACCCUACUCUGCUGCUGCCAGCCUGGUGCUUCUCCACAGCAUCAUUCUGUGUUUGAGCCCUCCUUCUAAGUGUGUGCUGAGCACUCCCCUGUAUUGAAUUUCAGUUUAUUGAUCUCAGACAGUUUCUCCCAUUUGCCAAGACCACUUUGACUUCCAGCCCUACAAAGUGCUUGCAAAUUGUCCUUCCCCACCUGGAGGAACUCACAGAUUUUACAGUGUACUUUCUAUUCCAUUACACUCGUCAUUAACAACAUAAAUAACAGCAGCACUAUCCAGCACUGCUUGCUUGCUGUUCUCCCUUCCCGUCAACCUCUCCAGGUACCAGGGCAGUGAGCACUCUUGCCCAAGAGACAGAAAAGACAUGGGCUUGCCACCUGGGUGGCACCUGGGUAACAGCAGUGCCCUGAAAACAGGGGGUAAUGCACAUUGUCCCAUGCUCAGCCUCUUGUUGGUACUAGCACCAGGCAUUAGGGCCUCUUGCCUCCAUACUCAGCCAAAAAGCUGCUCCCAUGUGCUGUGGGCACACAUGGGAGUGUUGAACCACAAGCUUGCAGCUAGAAGACAAGAGGGGAUUGGUGUGGCUCAGCAGGACUGCUGAAGGUCAGACUACUAGAAAUGUUUACUGAGCGAGUUUGUGCAGCUUCAGCUCAUGCUUGCCAGGGACCCAGCUGAACAAUUAAACGAAAUAUCAGUUCAGUCACAGGUUGCAGCACACUCAUAGCCCUGCCUUCAAUGAAUAAAAUAAAUCAUUCACACUGAUUCUCUAAUCAACCCAAUCCUCAGAGGUGUAAAUUAUUCUGGCAGGUGUAUAGUCAGUGAAGUUUUCAAAUUAACCUAAAAAACUCCAAAGAACCCUCUGAGUCUCUCAGCACUGGCUGAGCUGAGCAAAGGCUGUCUAAAACAAGUGCAACACAAAACUGGGUGGCAAAGACUGUGCCUUGCAAAACCUGAUAGUAAAACAACCAUCCUGCAACCUAGAGCUUUUGUUCAAAAGGAUGAUGCUCCAACCUGGGCUAUCCUUGCAUCACAGACCCUGCCCAGAUGCUCAGGGCAUGCCUUGUUUGCAUGGAAAUCCCAUCAGGAUCCUACAGCUCUGCAGGAGCAUCUUAGGAAAGGUCCUAAUCCUUUCAGCCAGCAGCCCUGUAGGCAGGAAAUACACCAUAGCACAUGACUGGGAAUAAACACAGAGUGCAGGGGUAUGGCCAUCAGAUGGUGUCACUCUCUCUGUCGGGCUGUUGGGUGGAAGGGGACAUCAGCUUGACAGUCUCAGCUUGAUUUUGUCUUCUCACUGCUUCUGUGGUGGGGAACACCACUGUUCCCUGAAGAAGUGAAGGUGGCUGCUGUGUGACAGCACCCAGCAGACAGCCACUGUUGUUCCCCCAGGUCUGCAAAGGAAUUUGGAACCUCUUUGUUUAUUCUCUAUAGAGAUGUGGUUUGAAAUAAUUUACUGGUGUGGACUGAGUAACAAAAAAGAGAUGCCAGGAUUCUAAAUACAGCAUUUGGAGCUGUUAGAGGAAAGCAGUGAAACAAAGCAGCAAAACCUGAGUUAAAAGCAUAUUUCCUGGUCAGCCUUGGGGGACAAAGAGUGUUUGGAUGGGCCCCAGCCUACUGCUUUA